AUACCAGCUGGCUGCAACUGUUUAUUAAAAACACAGCACUGUGCAAACACGAAAGUGGACGUAUACGGUGUGACGCCUGCCCGGUGCCGGAAGGUUAAUUGAUGGGGUUAUCCGUAAGGAGAAGCUCUUGAUCGAAGCCCCGGUAAACGGCGGCCGUAACUAUAACGGUCCUAAGGUAGCGAAAUUCCUUGUCGGGUAAGUUCCGACCUGCACGAAUGGCGUAAUGAUGGCCAGGCUGUCUCCACCCGAGACUCAGUGAAAUUGAACUCGCUGUGAAGAUGCAGUGUACCCGCGGCAAGACGGAAAGACCCCGUGAACCUUUACUAUAGCUUGACACUGAACACUGGUCCUUGAUGUGUAGGAUAGGUGGGAGGCUUUGAAGUGUGGACGCCAGUCUGCAUGGAGCCAUCCUUGAAAUACCACCCUUUAAUGGCUGGUGUUCUAACGUGGACCCGUAAUCCGGGUUGCGGACAGUGUCUGGUGGGUAGUUUGACUGGGGCGGUCUCCUCCUAAAGAGUAACGGAGGAGCACGAAGGUUAGCUAAUCCUGGUCGGACAUCAGGAGGUUAGUGCAAAGGCAUAAGCUAGCUUGACUGCGAGAGUGACGGCUCGAGCAGGUGCGAAAGCAGGUCUUAGUGAUCCGGUGGUUCUGAAUGGAAGGGCCAUCGCUCAACGGAUAAAAGGUACUCCGGGGAUAACAGGCUGAUACCGCCCAAGAGUUCAUAUCGACGGCGGUGUUUGGCACCUCGAUGUCGGCUCAUCACAUCCUGGGGCUGAAGUAGGUCCCAAGGGUAUGGCUGUUCGCCAUUUAAAGUGGUACGCGAGCUGGGUUUAGAACGUCGUG
rnacentral:rRNA from 1 species